ensembl:lincRNA
AUGAUGCUGAGUGGGGGACGACUAACAGAGCCCCCUGUGCCCCCGGCCAACCAGGCUGCACUCCCCGCCCCACCUGGAGUGGCUGGUGCUGGGGACGGCUCCUCCCUAGCUCCUGUUCUGUCUGCCUCUUUCUGCAGAAAGACAGACUACACCUGCCCUGGCCCGCGGGAGCACAUAGGUCUACUCAGGAAACAUCACCACCUAGGCUCUUCCAGACCCUUCCGGACCCUUCCAGACCCUUCUGGAGGUCCUGCUCCCACGUUCGCUCACCUCCUACGCCAGCCUUACUUUCAAAGACGGGAGAAAGGGGAAGCUUUGGACGACCUCAUGGAACCAAGCAGGAACAGAGCAAUGCACCAUUUAAAUGAAGGUGGUUCAUGCCAUCCACACACUUGCACAAUAAGGACAACUGGGUGGCAAAGAGCUCGAGGGUUGAAUCAAGAGGUCACAGACCAGCAGGACCCAGAAACUAAGACGGGCUUGAUGUUGUGGUGCCUGGGUGUUGUGUAUCUGCCCUGGGUGAUUUUUGCUUUUUGUUUAUUUAUAAGCUGGUAGCAGACAGGUGACGACUUCUGUAUUCACCUGCCCGGGUAGUCUGGAAGCAGCCUCUUUGUCACACCUUUCACCCAGGCAGUGAGCCCACUCUUGGUCCACUCUGAUCUCCGUGGGGCCCUUGCUCAGUCGUUGCGUCUGGUCCUGUCCUCUGUGGAGAUGGACUCGGCCCUCCACAUAGCCCCGGAUGACAGCCUGCCUGCUGUUUGGAGCUGGGUGUGAUCUCAUCUUUGAAUCACAUCUCAGCGUUGCCUCUUUCCCUUGUAGACCUGUUUAUUCUCUGCAUUGCCACAAAAUGACAUCCAUGUGAGUAUUAUGAGGUUACUUUGUGAAAAGGGUGGUGAAAUGCCAGGUAUUGCUGAUGUCCAGUACAUAAGUGUGUCAGUGUAUGCAGAGUUAUCACACGUGGCAGCAGCGACUUGAUGGAGAGAGCGAAUUGGGAUUUAACUCAGGAGCCUUUUCAGUGUCACAACGACGCGGCAGCAAUGGCCCUGCCUGGUCUAACUUACAGGACACACAACUCGUCAAUCCUCAUGUGUCCAGAAGGUGCUAGAAUGACAGCUGCUGGUGCUGCCGUGAUGCCACCCACCUGGAGACGUGGUUCCCUGGCGUGAGGGGAUGUUUUAUGUGACAUUUGUAUAAUAAAACAACAAAUGGCUCUUGACUGUUCGGAUUGGGAGUUUAAUGCUUCUUUCUCCCUAGAAAAAGAUAAAAAAUUUUAUGUCUGGGGAAGAGGAAGAGGAGGAGGACAAGGAUAUCACUUCGAAUUUUAAUGGAGAAGACAAGGAAGACAAUUUGAAAAAACCAUGUUUUAAUAUUUACAGAGAAAAGUGUCUGGAGGGAAAUAUAAAUAUAUUAAAAUACAUCAAAAGGAGUAAGAUGUCCAGGUUUUUUUGUUUUUUUUUUUUGCUUGUUGAUU